AGAGAUGUGUGAUGACGCAUAUCAAUAAGCGGAGGAAAAGAAACUAACAAGGAUUCCCUUAGUAACGGCGAGUGAAGCGGGAAGAGCUCAAAUUUGAAAUCUUCAAGGUUCUACCUUGACGAAUUGUAGUUUAUAGAAGUGUUUUCUGUUAGUAGAGUGGCAAAAGUUCUUUGGAAUAGGACAUCAUAGAGGGUGAGAAUCCCGUAUUUGACCGUUAUUCUUCUAGCUGUGUGAUACACUUUCAAAGAGUCGGAUUGUUUGGGAUAGCAGUCCAAAAUGGGUGGUAAAUUUCAUCUAAAGCUAAAUAUUGGCGAGAGACCGAUAGCGAACAAGUACCGUGAGGGAAGAUGAAAAGAACUUUGAAAAGAGAGUUAAACAGUACGUGAAAUUGUCAAAAGGGAAGCGUUUGACACCAGUGUUGUUUUCUCGAAAAUCAAUUAAAAAUGGAUGGAUUUUGUGUUGUAUUGACUUUAUCAGGCUUUCUGCACUUUUUUCAUGAUCUUUUUUAAUGCACUUUUCGUUUAACAAGUCAACAUCAAUUUCUUUUGUUGUAAAAGAGGUCAUUGGAAGGUGGCUUUCUCUUCGGAGAAAGUGUUUAUAGCCUUUACCUUCUGCAAUCGGAGAGAUUGAGGUCUGCAGCGUAGAUCCUUCGGGGUUAGAUACAUUUGUGCUAAGCUAUAGUUCUUUAUAGACAACUUGUUGACUAUGAUCAAUCCUGUAGCUUACUCGCUCAUGGCUAUUUUACCUACGCUUAGGAUGUUGAGUCGUAGAGCACGCAG
rnacentral:rRNA from 1 species